rnacentral:rRNA from 1 species
UGGCGAACGGGUGAGUAAUAUAUCGGAACGUACCCAAGAGUGGGGGAUAACGUAGCGAAAGUUACGCUAAUACCGCAUACGAUCCAAGGAUGAAAGCAGGGGAUCUUCGGACCUUGUGCUCCUGGAGCGGCCGAUAUCUGAUUAGCUAGUUGGUGAGGUAAAGGCUCACCAAGGCCACGAUCAGUAGCUGGUCUGAGAGGACGACCAGCCACACUGGAACUGAGACACGGUCCAGACUCCUACGGGAGGCAGCAGUGGGGAAUUUUGGGCAAUGGGCGAAAGCCUGAUCCAGCAAUGCCGCGUGAGUGAAGAAGGCCUUCGGGUUGUAAAGCUCUUUUGUCAGGGAAGAAACGGUGAGGGCUAAUAUCCCUCGCUAAUGACGGUACCUGAAGAAUAAGCACCGGCUAACUACGUGCCAGCAGCCGCGGUAAUACGUAGGGUGCAAGCGUUAAUCGGAAUUACUGGGCGUAAAGCGUGCGCAGGCGGUUUUGUAAGUCUGACGUGAAAUCCCCGGGCUCAACCUGGGAAUUGCGUUGGAGA